rnacentral:tRNA from 1 species
AGCAGUGUAGUGUGGUGGUUAAGAAUGUAAACUACAGAGUCUGACAGAUCUGGGUUCGAAUCCCAGCUCUGCUA